rnacentral:tRNA from 1 species
GGGCCGGUAGCUUAGCUUGGUAGAGCAUCUGUCUUAUAAGCAGAAGGUCAUGAGUUCAAAUCUCAUCCGGCCCA